UGAGGGGAGUCUCAGGCAUUCCAAAGUGAGGAAGUGGAUUCAGAUGUAGUAUCUGUGAGAAAGUACUGACAUGUAAAGGUGGAUAUACUGUUCAUCAGCAGAUGACUUGAAGUCAAAAGAAACGGAGACCAUUCAGUCAUUUCUACAGAUUUCCAAGCACCUAAUGCUCUUAUGUUCAGCUGAGAAAAAAAAAAUGAUGAACAAGCAGAAAAUACAGCAGCAAAGGACAAGGAAGAGAUGGCACACAUUUUAAGAAUGAAAUUAACUUAAUAAAUAUUCAGAUCAUUUCUAAGGGAUGUUACAUUUGGGAAUUCACUUUUCCAGUAUAGUACAGAUACUCGUAUUUUGCUGGUA